UAGCAAUAUUUGAUGACUGGGUAAGGCUCCAGAGAUCAUUUAUUUUGAAAAACAAAUUUUGCUUCUCCGGGACAAAGAUCAGAUGGCAGCAAUUAAAAAGGACUUUGUUCAGUGCCUCCAAUAAAGCAGAGGUAAUGAAGAGGUCUUCUGUGGGAGGCAAGCAAAGCGGUAUAGCAGGGUCAGCAGAAGCACCAAGCAUGAAAUAUUACCCUGAUAAGCCGAGAUCAGGAAAAAAAACGGCCACAGAGAGGUGUUGCCUGCGUGUCCCGCGGCCCCAAUGCCACCGUUGCCCUCGUCGCCUCCAGCCCGCGCCGGGACGCGUCUUAGCUGCUGUGAAACUCUGCCACCAAAAGCUGCAUCCUCGGCAGGGAUCCAAGGAAGGCCGGCAGAAAUCGAGAGCGGGCAGACCCAGAAUUUAAAGCUCUGCAUGGUCCAGCAAACUGAAAUACCACCAAAAAGCAUUUUCCAGAGCACAGCAAUGCACCCUAAGGGAUUUAAUUGCUAGAAAAUGAUAGGCAUCCGCCACCAAAAAAAAAAAAAAAAAUCUGAUCACUUUAAAUCUUUUCCAUCACCUGAGUUAGUCCUGUCUCCAGGGUGCAAAAGACGCUGCGCUAUUGCAGGUUGGCCUGCAUUAUCGUCACUGCUGGUGGCAGGGAGAGGAGGAGAGCGCAAAGAGGUUUGAGGAGCACGUAAAGGAACACGGAGACCCUAGAAUAAGGCUGCAUGUUGCCCCUGUGAUCGUUCAGUUUAACUGCAGGACGCUAAGACCAAAAAUCGCACUACGGUUAGCCCCAUCUUUACUGCAACAUAUCUUGGCGUGGGCGGCCCGCUCUCUGGCUCAUAAUGUCCAAAAAAACCUCCUAAAUGGAUGUAAGCCGUUGCACUUAACGGCUCAAAUGGCAUUGAGCCACGUGCAGCUGGUUUUGUGCUCCGCUCCCCGUCUCUACUUCCCCUUCUGCCCGGAAGCGAGCCUGGAGCACCACGUGGCACGAAAAAUUGCUGAAAACAUGCAAACCCAUGAGUACACCGUCCCGCAGGCAAGCGCCACGAAGGCCAACAACUAGGGGGAAAAAAAAUGUAAAGCUCAAAUACCCAAAGUGACUCAAGCCACAGCUAAGCUGCCUGAUUUCAAGGGUCUAGAAAGCACAUAGCGGCACCGGUAUCGUGAUGAUCCCAGUUAUGAGAUGCCACCUCUGCCUCUUCAGAGGCAUAAACACAGUUAGGUCACCGGAAGAAACCCAUUUUGAACUGAACUGCCCCAGCAGGAGCGUGAGCCCUUCCUUCUGGUUUUAACCAUUGCAGCUCCACAAAGCAUAAAAGUUAAAAAAAAUAAAAAUGAAAAAUAAAAAUAAAAAAGAGGGAUA
rnacentral:lncRNA from 1 species